UACGGGGGGGGCAAGCGUUGUUCGGAAUUACUGGGCGUAAAGGGCUCGUAGGCGGCCAACUAAGUCAUACGUGAAAUCCCUCGGCUUAACCGGGGAACUGCGUCUGAUACUGGAUGGCUUGAGUUCGGGAGAGGGAUGCGGAAUUCCAGGUGUAGCGGUGAAAUGCGUAGAUAUCUGGAGGAACACCAGCGGCGAAGGCGGCAUCCUGGACUGGUCCUGACACUCAUGAGCGAAAGCGUGGGGAGCGAUCCGG
rnacentral:rRNA from 1 species